UACCAGCUCUCCGAGUUGUAGGGAUGAUUAUUGGGCUUAAAGCGUCCGUAGCUGGCUUAGCAAGUCUCAUGUUAAAUUCAGCGACCUAAUCGUUGAGCCGCGGGAGAUACUACUAGGUUAGGAGGCGGGAGAGGUCGACGGUACUUUCGGGGUAGGGGUGAAAUCCUAUAAUCCCGGGAGGACCACCAGUGGCGAAGGCUGUCGACUAGAACGCGCUCGACGGUGAGGGACGAAAGCUGGGGGAGCGAACCGGAUUAGAUACCCGGGUAGUCCCAGCUGUAAACUAUGCGGGCUAGGUGUUGGGGUGGCUACGGGCCAUUUCAGUGCCGCAGGAAAGCCAUUAAGCCCGCCGCCUGGGGAGUACGGCCGCAAGGCUGAAACUUAGAGGAAUUGGCGGGGGAGCACCACAAGGCGUGAAGCUUGCGGUUC
rnacentral:rRNA from 1 species